UGCAGAGAACAGGCAUGAGGAGAUGCAAGAUGAUUUUCUGGGACAGAUGAUAAAACACUAGCCUGAUGCAAUCCAACACCUCAAAAUGAUCAAAUAUUCGUUCAGUGAAGUCUUCCUGACAGAGAAGAAGGAGACUGGCUCUUCCAGCCUCACAUUUGCAUUGCUUUGGGGAAGGGAAUUAGCCAGCUGAAAAGACUGCACCACCUGAGCCCGGUGGAGCUGCACAAAGCAUUGGCUGCUUCACCUGGGGGAAAUCUUAGAAAUGGAGGUGCCCCAGUAGAGGAUUUGCAGGCCACACAUGGCUUGUCAAGCAAUGCUGGUGACUCAGAGGAGGUUAAUGUAAUAAUUUGCAUUGCUGAAGAAGAUGGAAAGAGGAGACGGACACGAAGAUGUACCGAUGCAGAGAGUGAGAAGAAUUUGCAGCUGGAGGAGCUGGAUUAUUUUUACUUCUGUGCAAAAAGAUUUCUGAGGCCAAGACCAUACCAGCAGCGGGGGAGAAGGUGGAGCACCACCCACUGUCCGUAGAGCUCGUCAGAGCAACAAGCCAGCUUGCCACCCCAGCAGUGACCACGUUCCCAGCUGUGUAUCGUUCUUGCUUCAGCUGACAAAUGCUUUGAAACCGAUAGGUGUUGUUGCCCUUUGAAGCAAAUGUGCUCAGCAGCCUUGAUCCCUUUGUGGAACCUACAAGACACAUUCUUGCUGCGUAUCAGGACCAGAGCUGGGUAUGGUACUUUCCUCUCCGUGACAUGCCUCGUAGCACCUUCUCCCUCCUUCCAUCCGGACGUGCCGUGUCAACUUUCACCAGGAGACACUUCCCCUUACCAUC